GUCGAGCGGUAGAGAGAAGCUUGCUUCUCUUGAGAGCGGCGGACGGGUGAGUAAUGCCUAGGAAUCUGCCUGGUAGUGGGGGAUAACGUUCGGAAACGGACGCUAAUACCGCAUACGUCCUACGGGAGAAAGCAGGGGACCUUCGGGCCUUGCGCUAUCAGAUGAGCCUAGGUCGGAUUAGCUAGUUGGUGAGGUAAUGGCUCACCAAGGCGACGAUCCGUAACUGGUCUGAGAGGAUGAUCAGUCACACUGGAACUGAGACACGGUCCAGACUCCUACGGGAGGCAGCAGUGGGGAAUAUUGGACAAUGGGCGAAAGCCUGAUCCAGCCAUGCCGCGUGUGUGAAGAAGGUCUUCGGAUUGUAAAGCACUUUAAGUUGGGAGGAAGGGUUGUAGAUUAAUACUCUGCAAUUUUGACGUUACCGACAGAAUAAGCACCGGCUAACUCUGUGCCAGCAGCCGCGGUAAUACAGAGGGUGCAAGCGUUAAUCGGAAUUACUGGGCGUAAAGCGCGCGUAGGUGGUUUGUUAAGUUGGAUGUGAAAUCCCCGGGCUCAACCUGGGAACUGCAUUCAAAACUGACUGACUAGAGUAUGGUAGAGGGUGGUGGAAUUUCCUGUGUAGCGGUGAAAUGCGUAGAUAUAGGAAGGAACACCAGUGGCGAAGGCGACCACCUGGACUAAUACUGACACUGAGGUGCGAAAGCGUGGGGAGCAAACAGGAUUAGAUACCCUGGUAGUCCACGCCGUAAACGAUGUCAACUAGCCGUUGGAAGCCUUGAGCUUUUAGUGGCGCAGCUAACGCAUUAAGUUGACCGCCUGGGGAGUACGGCCGCAAGGUUAAAACUCAAAUGAAUUGACGGGGGCCCGCACAAGCGGUGGAGCAUGUGGUUUAAUUCGAAGCAACGCGAAGAACCUUACCAGGCCUUGACAUCCAAUGAACUUUCUAGAGAUAGAUUGGUGCCUUCGGGAACAUUGAGACAGGUGCUGCAUGGCUGUCGUCAGCUCGUGUCGUGAAAUG
rnacentral:rRNA from 1 species